UACGGAGGGGGUUAGCGUUGUUCGGAAUUACUGGGCGUAAAGCGCGCGUAGGCGGAUUAGAAAGUUGGGGGUGAAAUCCCGGGGCUCAACCCCGGAACUGCCUCCAAAACUACUAGUCUAGAGUUCGAGAGAGGUGACUGGAAUUCCGAGUGUAGAGGUGAAAUUCGUAGAUAUUCGGAGGAACACCAGUGGCGAAGGCGGCUCACUGGCUCGAUACUGACGCUGAGGUGCGAAAGUGUGGGGAGCAAACAGG
rnacentral:rRNA from 1 species